rnacentral:lncRNA from 1 species
ACUGGAGAGAAAAAAAAAGUGAUUUAUUUAAAAUGAAUAUAAAUUGAACGCCGAACAUUAGAUCACUUAGCAAUUAAUUCGCGGAUUUUCAGAUGGCUCCUCCAGCUUUCCUUGGUCUACGGUGGAUAUGUAGAUGAACAUCCCUGGUCUCAACACAGAAGCACCUUCAACCUCAGUCUUGCCAGAGAGCCAACUCUGAGAGGUGUUCCGUUUCAUAAAUAGGGCCAAAACACAGAAUACCACAUCAUUGCUUUCAGCUGGCAUUGUGUUAUACUUCCAACAUUAUAUCUUUGUUAUUUAGCAAUCAUUCAUUUCAUUGCAAUGUUUUGAUGCUUAGUC